rnacentral:piRNA from 1 species
CUCCCGUGUGGAUUCUUUGAUGCUGAA